UACGGAGGGUGCAAGCGUUGUUCGGAAUUAUUGGGCGUAAAGCGCGCGCAGGCGGUGAUGUAAGUCUGAUGUGAAAAUCCAGGGCUCAACCUUGGGACUGCAUUGGAAACUGCAUCACUUGAGAGCAGAAGAGGAGAGUGGAAUUCCUAGUGUAGCGGUGAAAUGCGUAGAUAUUAGGAGGAACACCAGUGGCGAAGGCGACUCUCUGGUCUGUUACUGACGCUGAGGCGCGAAAGCGUGGGGAG
rnacentral:rRNA from 1 species